rnacentral:tRNA from 1 species
GGGUCGAUGCCCGAGUGGUUAAAGGGGACAGGCUGUAAACCUGUUGGCGAGAGCCUACGCUGGUUCGAAUCCAGCUCGGCCCA